rnacentral:ncRNA from 1 species
UUGGAGAGCGGAGUGUCAGGAAGACGCCGUCAGCGUCGGGGAAGAUGGUGCAAAACCAUCACGGUGCCGCCACUGUAAGCGGGGAGUGACUCUGCAUUGAGCCACUGGCGAGUGGCGUGGUUCGUGAAUCGUAUCUCGUGAAGCGCAGGAGGUUCCCUCCGACCGUUUCACGAACGUCGUUUUACGUUUCACGCUCAGCUGGGAAGGCGCAGAGAAACGAUGAUCCGCAAGUCAGGAGACCCAACUGACGGGUUUGUAACUGA